rnacentral:rRNA from 1 species
UAACACGUAGGGGGCGAGCGUUGUCCGGAUUUAUUGGGCGUAAAGAGCUCGUAGGUGGCUCGGUAAGUCGGGUGUGAAAUUUCGAGGCUCAACCUCGAAACGCCACCCGAUACUGCUGUGGCUAGAGUCCGGUAGGGGAGCGUGGAAUUCCUGGUGUAGCGGUGAAAUGCGCAGAUAUCAGGAGGAACACCAGCGGCGAAGGCGGCGCUCUGGGCCGGUACUGACACUGAGGAGCGAAAGCGUGGGGAUCAAACAGGAUUAGAUACCCUGGUAGUCCACGCCGUAAACGUUGGGCACUAGGUGUGGGGUUCUAUCAACGGACUCCGUGCCGAAGCUAACGCAUUAAGUGCCCCGCCUGGGGAGUACGGCCGCAAGGCUAAAACUUAAAUGAAUUGACGG